GACAACGUGCCAGAGUGGUUAAUGGGUAUGACUCGAAUGCCUUGGCGAAUAGAUAUCAUAUGACUUCGGUCGCACAGGUUCGAAUCCUGUCGUUGUCG
rnacentral:tRNA from 1 species